AAAGAAACUACCAGGAUUCCCUUAGUAACGGCGAGUGAAGCGGGAACGGCUCAAAUUUGAAAUCUGGCGGCCGCGGCCGUCCGAGUUGUAAUCUGGAGAAGCGUUUUCAGCGCCGGCCCGCGUACAAGUCCCCUGGAACGGGGCGUCGCAGAGGGUGAGAAUCCCGUCUCUGACGCGGUUCGUGCCGGCGCGUUGCGAUGCGCUCUCGAAGAGUCGAGUUGUUUGGGAAUGCAGCUCAAAACGGGUGGUAAAUUCCAUCUAAAGCUAAAUACUGGCGAAAGACCGAUAGCGAACAAGUACCGUGAGGGAAAGAUGAAAAGCACUUUGGAAAGAGAGUCAAACAGUACGUGAAAUUGUUGAAAGGGAAACGCUUGAAGUCAGUCGCGUCUCUCGGGACUCGGUCGCCACCCCUCGCGGGGAGGGCGGCGUACUUCCCGGGUAUGGACGGGCCAGCGUCGAUUUCGACCGUCGUACAAAGGCGCGAGGAACGUGGCACCUUCGGGUGUGUUAUAGCCUCGCGUUUCGUAUGCGACGGUGGGGAUCGAGGGUCGCAGCGCGCCUCUAACGGUCGGGGUUCGCCCACGUAACGCGCUUGGGACGCUUGGCUUAAUGGCUUCAA
rnacentral:rRNA from 1 species